rnacentral:sRNA from 1 species
UUUUUAUCUCAGACAAAUAUUGUUUUUCAAAAGAACUUUUGUUUAUUUUUUUGUUUCAUUAAAUAUUGUGUUACCGUAGAUUCUUGUUGGAAAUACACCUUUUUUUUUUAAAGGACCAGCAGCAGACAAUCUCCUUGACCUUUCACUACUCGGUACUUGCCAACUUUAUUCGUAUUUUUAUCGACUUGUCGCUCUGUUCCUGUAUUUGAAUACGUCAACAAAUACCACAUGAAACUGUCCAUUAUUCUUACAGCCCAGCUAUUGGUCUUGAACUCUCAGUUGUCUUUGCAUUGGUGUGUCUUCUUCGUGACGAGAAGAUUACUUUUGAAAAAUGAAAAUCUCUGCGGCCUCCACAGUUGUAAUGGAAUUAAUUUUUUUUUUACAAAAAUCUGGACAUUGUGCCUGCACUAAUAACGUGCAGUGGUUAGGGUUAGCACGAAGUAACUAGCACUCUAGUAGAUACAAUCCGAUAUCAUUUGGAUGGUAUAAACUAUCAACUAUUGAACUGGAUCGCUGCAUGGUCGCGUGGUAGUCGCUUCAGACUGUCGUCACGGUGGUUUUGAGUUUGAACCGUUCUCGCUUCCCUCCCCUUUCGUCCUCCCGGAGGUCUGCUUAGAACGUAACAAUCUUCAAUGCACGUCUGAAAGUAAUAAUAAUAAUAAGGCUUGUCUUCGAGUCCGAAGAUUAGUGAGGAAUACAGUAUUUCCCUUGGCUGCGUAGCUCCAGAUGUGACCUACAUAUUUUGCCAAUAAUAAUAAUAAUAACCUACCACCGGUACUUGGAGCUAUUCUAUCGAUUUCUUAACCUUAAUAUAUGAUCUAAAAAUUAGGACUUUCUUACAGAUUAAGCAUAAACAAUUCUACAUGAUUUUAAUUUCCCUUCUAACGAUUUAGCUGAUGUAGUUGACAACUGAGAUUCUGAAAUAGAGUCUACCAAAUAUAGCUUUACAAAGUUAGCAUACUGGAAAGAUUAUUCAAUGCAUCUUGGUCAUACGAGUUUUUCCCCACUGGUAAAGAAAUGGCCACAAUAUAGUUGGCCAAUGAAAUCACUUGUCUUAUGUAGUUAUUACAGUGCAUACUUUGUGUUCAUGUUGGUUUCUUUCAAUGAAUCCAUGUAUAUUAUUUUCAAAUGAAGAUCUCAAAAUUGUUAUUUACAAACUGGUUCAAAUGUCAUUCUACACGUGUAGUGCGAUGUACAGGAUACAACCAAAUGUGUUUGUUUUUUGGAAUGAGUUAUUACCAGACUUCUUCUGACGAUGUACUCAGAAAUUUCUAUUGCACAAACUAACAAAAUAACAUGCAAAUAAAAACAAUUGUAUUACAAUGUUAA